AAUCUAGCAGCACAGAGCCUGGCCAGGUUAGAGCUGGAGCAUGGCUCUGGCCAGCCAGGCUUCAGUUUCUGGCUGCACAUCCUGCCACCACGUGCACCACCCUGCUUUAAGAUGUGGGGUUUUUUUACCCUGGGAUCUCCUGUCAAUCCCCCACAAAAUCCUUAGGAUUGCCUUGUGCCACCCCUGCAACGUAAAAGCUACGUUUUAUACUGAGGAAUACUCCUAUUCCAACUGAGAAAUACUCUUCUUUAUGGGGAGAAGCAUGGUGAUUGAAGUGUUGUUCCAUCACAGACGUGCGCAGCUGCUGUAGUGACCCUGAGGCCAAGGAGCUCAACUAAUUAAUCUAGUAUAUAUUAUGUGCUAAAGGCCAGUCUUCAUUUACUCCAGGUGUAGGGGUCUGCAUAAUCCCAGAACCUGGUGAUACUGUUCAGUUUUGGCUGUGUUUCAGUGCCACAAUUUGGCUUGUGACUUAUUGUGGAUCUAUCAGCAAAACUACUGAAGUAACAAUGUAGUCAAAUCAUGUUAGUCACAAUCUUGUUUAUUGGUUAAGUCUUCUCCUUCAUGGUAUGCAAUAACGUGAGUAUAUUAAAAAGUAGAUUUAUACACACAAAAUAUUUGGUACUGUUCUAACAGGAGAAAAUUUUGUAGCAAUUUGUAAAUGUAUUCACAUCAACUUCAUUUAGUGGUAGUCUAUUCUAGUUAGGUCAACGUAGCUUUUUGAAUAUCCCAGCCUUGGUUUUGAAGUGACUGCUAUUUUUACCAGAAAGCAUUUUUUCUUCACAAUGGUUACUCUAGUGAGAAAUGAGAACUGCCUAUUGCUGGGGAAUUGGGUGAUCAUUGUUUGAUUAAACUGUUCCUUUCCCUUUUUUUUUUAUAUUUUAAGUAUCUUGGAAAUGAUGCUAUGUUAAAAAAACUUUGGGUUUUUUAUGUUGUUUUAGCAUACAAUGUCAGGCUUACAGAUGAGGUGGUGUGGGUUAAGAAUGGAAACACGUUUUAUAGACUCCCCAUCUCAUUUAAUUACUUUUCAUUUUUGGAUUGCUGUGUAUUUGUUAGAUAAACUGUCUUUCCUUCCUAUUACUGCAAUGGUCAUGUUAAUGAAGAGACCUCUUCAGUCCGGGGUUGUGAGCUGAAUAAGCAACUCAUUUAAUGUGAAACUGAAGCUCCCUGAGAUUCUGAUGUGUGAUACUGCACAAAUGACUAAGUGUUCAUUAGUGUGAAUGAGGGCUCCAAGUGAGGACGGACAGGAUCCUUCCUCUGAACUGGAUCACAACAUAGAAGUAAAAUAACAGGCAGGUGUGAAGGAAGAAGCUAUGUACAGAGUGACAUUAUGGCAGUUCAAGAAGAUUGCUUUUGCCUGACGGAAAGGAGCUGGAUUCAAGUCCCUGAAUCGGGAAUGGUAAGAGAUGGAUACUAUGAAGUAAUGCAACCAAUCAUGGAUGCACAUAAAGGAGAGCCAGGGAGAGAGAGAUUAAGUUCUUGCUACUUUAACAGCUUU